CUGGUUAACACUCCAGUCCAGUUGGUGGCGGUAAUGCGCCUUAAAUAGUCCAAUGAAGAAAAAGAAAACGAAAGUAGUUAUUUCUCAGGACAACGCCCUAGAUGUUGAAUCCUGGGGCAGUAGAGCACAGCAUGGGUUGGGAACUCUUCUACUGUGUUUUUACAUUGAUGGUUGGCCUUCUUGAAUGCCCCUCGAUUGGCAAUGGUAUCAUUCUUAAAACUGUGAAUUUGAAGCACUCUGUCACUCUCCCUUGCAAUGCAACCUGUGACAUUGGCAUCGUUUGGAGGAUUGUGGAUGGCCAGGACGUUGCCAAGAUUGACCAAGGAAAAUUAAUUGAAGGAAAGCGCUUUGAGAAGAGGGUGGAAAUCAACAAAGACCUCUCUCUCACAAUCAGCUCUGCGGUGUACAAUGACAAGGGCUCAUAUGAGUGUGUCUGUGAUAAACGGACUGUUGCAGAUGUGAAGCUAGAUGUUCUGGUCCCGACAGAAAUAUCAGCUCACGUCGGAGAUAAUGUCACACUUCACUGCUAUGGCUCAACCAAUAAGCAGGCAACCGAUGGUAAAAUGUAUGUCCAGUGGGAGAAAGAUGGACAGACUGUGCUGAAGAUUGACCCAACCAAUACUACCUUGGACCUGGAUUCAUCGACAGGACAUCAGUGACCAGGGAUGGUUACGGAGAGGGUGACCUGUCCCUCACCUUCACCGGUGUACGCCGUCUGACCAGGGGACCUACCUGUGCUUCUUCAACCAGGAUAGUAAGCCAGGAUAUCCACAUGGAGUCACUCUCACUGUUAAAGAAAAGCGAUCGGAGGCUGCAAUGAUUGAUAGAGAAAGGAUUAGGUAACAGUGAUAGGAAUAAUUAUUCUACUUCUGUUAAUCAUUUGUGUGCUCGUGUUACUGGCGAUUCACAAGAGAAACAGGAGACAGCCAACAGUGGGCUUCACAGUCACGGGAAAAGAGGACACCACGAUGAUCAACACAGCAUCACCAGCACAUCUGUCCAUUGAGGAUCUUCCUGUUCCAGUUCAGGACAGCCAACCGUUGUCAGAAGUCCGAAGAAUCCAGAGUUGUUGUGAUGAUCAUCUUGAUGAGGCCACGUGUCCUGAGGGGAUCGAUGAACGCACAGAGGAAGAGGAGGAGCUCCAUCUCCCAGUAGCUGAAAGUGGGACACUGCUAGAGCAGGAGAAGAGUAGCACAGGGAGUUGAGUUAUGUAUGAAGGUAGUAUGUUCUGGUUGCCAACUUCUUUGUUGUCGUGAAAUGUUGGAUGAAAUGUUCUAUGUUCACUGAAGUGGAUGUGGAUGUCUUCCUAUCAUAGUUUACUAUAUGAAUCGGUAGCCAAUGACUGUAGCUUGAUUGCCUUGAAUCAAAUGAUACAGGGUUUAUUUUAUCUAGGGCCCAGUCUUUGCUGAUGUUCUGCCUAGUCUUCCAGUUUAAAGCUAGAGAUUUUACACCAGCAUAAGCAUUUUAUUGGGGGGUGAGAGGUAUAAAGGAGGAUCCUUUGAGUGUGUGAAUAUGAAAGGGAAGCUGGUAGGGUAUAAAGGAGGAAUCAUUCAUCUCUCUGGUGGUGGUGCUACUGAUAUUGUAACUGGAAGGUUUACUAGUCAAGAUCAAUGUCACUUAAUCUGGCCUUGCUUGAUAUCAAAGGGGAUAUCACAGUAUGUGUAAUAGACAAUAUCCCCACAAGAGGGCAGACGUACACCAUAAUUUUAAAGUAAACUAUGAUUAUUUUUGGGUCAGUGAUACACUUGGGACGUCCCUACCCUAAAUCCUAACCUUAAUCCACAAGCAAUACUUUAAUCCUUACAUUAACUAUUUUACAUUUCAACUUCUGUGGGGUAGGCACGUCCCAAGGAUCCUCGAUAACAGAUGAAUGUAUUAUUAUAACGUAUUACAUGAUGCGUAAUAAAUAUAUGUAUUUGCUAAAUGAUUAUAAAGAAUGUUUGCUAUA